AACAGACACUAUUUUAGUGUAUAGUUUUUGGGAUCAAAUAAAUGUGGAGACAAUUAGGCAAUGUGCUGAUGUUUUUCUCCUCCUCCGUCAGAUCCUACUGCUCCCAUCGAAAUCAUAUAAUCUUGACUGAUUAAACCUUACAGAAGAUGAUCAAUAGAUGGAACAACUCCAGAUCAGUAAUAUUACAGGACGGCAUGAGGAACGGAAGAAGAGAGAGGAGGACUGCACAUAAAAGUAAAUUUUAAGAGAAAAUGGUGGCAGGGUGCAAAUUAAAAUCCCAAUCUGCAGAGAGCAAAUUAAAAUCCCAAGCUGCAGAGAGCAAAGAGACAAUGGUGGCAGGGUCAUUUCAUUUGUCGGUCGAGGGAUAGGGACGUUUCAGCUUCAUUCAAUUUUGAAGAAAAUCCAUGUCUUCGAUAUUCUGCGCUUGUGCACGAUUCUAAAUUUGGUCGGGAAGAAAGGCUUUACUUGGCCCACAAGAUUGCAAUAAAACCAGCAGAGAAGCCAUAUUGCAAGACUAGGGAUUGUCUGGUUUUAGUAAGAAACGAUUAACCUUUCUACAUUUUGUUCAUGUUUGAUCGUAUUUAGAACAAGUUUCCAUGAGUUAUUGUUCUAUAUUUUGUUCAA